UAUUGGUCAAUAGCCUAACCGGCUGAACCAGCAACUUGGAGGAAUGGAUAGGGAAAGCCGGUAAAAGGCAAUGUACCUAGUAGUAUUAGAAAUAAAUAUGAGGUUAACAAAGUUAAUUAAAAUUCGAAGUAGGUAAGUGAUUAUGACAAUAUCUGCUGAUGUCUUGACCAAGUCACGUGCCAGCAGUCGCGGUAAUACGGAAGAUAAGUGUUAUUCAUCUUUAAUAGGUUUAAAGGGUACCUAGACAGUUAAUUAAGCAAGAAAUUGUACUAANUUUAUACUAGAGUUUAAUAUAGGAAGGGUCAGUACGAUGCGGUGUAGAGAUAAAAUUCUUUGAUACUUAUGGGGACUGGUAAAGGCGAAGGCAACCUUUUAUGUAAAAACUGACGUUGAGGGACGAAGGCUCAAGGAGAAAAAAGAGGAUUAGAUACCCUUGUAUAGUGGGCAGACAAUGAUGAGUGUCAUAUGUAAGAUUUGUGUAUAAAUGAAAGUGUAAGCACUCCACCUCAAGAGUAACGUGGCAACAUGGGAACUGAAAUCAUUAGGCCGUUUCUGAAACCCGUAGUGAAGUAUGUUGUUUAAUUUGUAGGUACGCAAAUAACCUUACCACAAUUUGUAUAGCUUGUACAAGCGUUGCACGGCUGUUUUUAGUCAAUGUUGUGAAACUUUGGUUAGGUCCAUUAAAUUGAUGUAAGCCCUUGCUUUAUUUAUUAAAAAGCAGUUCGCCGCUGUAUGGGUAGCGAUAUAAGGGACUAAGAC
rnacentral:rRNA from 2 species